UACGUAGGGUGCGAGCGUUAAUCGGAAUUACUGGGCGUAAAGCGUGCGCAGGCGGUCUGUUAAGACCGAUGUGAAAUCCCCCGGGCUCAACCUGGGAACUGCAUUUGUGACUGCACAGCUGGAGUGCGGCAGAGGGGGAUGGAAUUCCGCGUGUAGCAGUGAAAUGCGUAGAUAUGCGGAGGAACACCGAUGGCGAAGGCAAUCCCCUGGGCCUGCACUGACGCUCAUGCACGAAAGCGUGGGGAGCAAACAGG
rnacentral:rRNA from 1 species